CCAAGCUGGCGGUGCUGCUUUGGGAGGUGGUGGAAGCUGUAGGAGGCAGGGCCUCAGUUGAGGAAGUGGGUCAGCAUGGCUCUGCAUUCUCAAGACACAACAAUCCAGAGGCAGUGACAUGAAUGCUUGCUCCGUGGACAGGUGGAAAAAUGACUGGGGAUAAAGGAUGGAUGAGAGCAGGACCUGCUGUCUCACAGCAGCGCCACACAGAACCCCACCUGCUGUGGAAUGCACACGAGCCAUUUUAGAGCAUGGGGGAAAUGUGGUAAAAUCCUUUAAAAUCUUCCUGACGAGUAAAUUCCUGGAAAGCAAUUAAUGUGGAAGGCUUUCAGGGACCAGAGGGAGUGGCAGAUAGCUUGAAUCCUGUUUCCUGAGUGGUCAGCCACGGACAUCACUCCAAACCAGGUAGCAAAGAGUGUGCUUUUUACAUCUCUGUUCUAGGAAGAACAUUUGCACAACUUCUAGCAACAUUCUUGGGUCAGUGGCCAUGACCCUGAGGCAAUGCUUAGCGCUACAGUGAUCGUUUGACUCCACACGGUACUACAAAAAGUGAAGCAGUGAAAGCCCUGGGCCACACCAACAAGCACGUGACAAGAGAGACGCUUGCUCAUACGACAGAGGCCUGCAUCCCUUAGGCAGAGUACUGACCAUGAUUGGAUG
rnacentral:lncRNA from 1 species